rnacentral:tRNA from 1 species
AAGAAUUUAAGUUAUUAAAACUAUUGACCUUCAAAGUCAAAUAAAGAAGCAUUUCUAAUUCUUA